CUGGGAAUCUUGCGCAAUGGGCGAAAGCCUGACGCAGUGACGCCGCGUGCGGGAUGAAGGCCUCCGGGUUGUAAACCGCUUUCAGCAGGAACGAAACUGACGGUACCUGCAGAAGAAGCUCCGGCCAACUACGUGCCAGCAGCCGCGGUAAUACGUAGGGAGCAAGCGUUGUCCGGAUUUAUUGGGCGUAAAGGGCUCGUAGGCGGUUCGGUAAGUCGGGUGUGAAACCUCCAGGCUCAACCUGGAGACGCCACCCGAUACUGCUGUGACUUGAAUCUGGUAGGGGAGCACGGAAUUCCUGGUGUAGCGGUGAAAUGCACAGAUAUCAGGAGGAACACCGGUGGCGAAGGCGGUGCUCUGGGCCAGUAUUGACGCUGAGGAGCGAAAGCGUGGGUAGCGAACAGG
rnacentral:rRNA from 1 species